rnacentral:rRNA from 1 species
CAAUAGCGUAUAUUAAAGUUGUUGCGGUAAAAAGCUCGUAGUUGGAUUUCUGUUGAGGACGACCGGUCCAUACCACGUAUGCGCAUCUGGCUCGGCCUCGGCAUCCUCUCGCGAAACGUUUCUGCGCUUGAUUGCGUGGAGCGGGUCUCGGGACUUUUACUUUGAGGAAAUUAGAGUGUUUACGGCAGGCAAACGCCUUGAAUACAUUAGCAUGGAAUAAUAAUAUAGGACCUGAGUUCUAUUUGUUGGUUUCUAGAACUGAAGUAAUGAUUAAUAGGGAUAGUUGGGGGCAUUAGUAUUUAAUUGUCAGAGGUGAAAUUCUUGGAUUUAUGAAAGACUAACUUCUGCGAAAGCAUUUGCCAAGGAUGUUUUUCAUUAAUCAAGAACGAAAGUUAGGGGAUCGAAGACGAUCAGAUAUC